rnacentral:lncRNA from 1 species
CUCUGCCUUCGCUCGCGCCGCUCUCCUUCAGGCCUGUUUCAUGGAUAGGGUCCCCUUGCCCGCGUGAAAGUCUCAUUCCUCCUCAGCUCAGAAACACUCCAAGGUCUCGGCGCCCUAUACUGGCCUUCCCUCAUCCGAAUACCCCUCGUGCUCCUGAUGUACUUUUCCAUUCCCACUCCCUACUCUGGCAGUCUAGCUUCUAAGCUGAGGAGUUUGGCCUUCGCUCCAGGUGCGGGGACUCGUGGAAGGAUUUGAUUCGCGCUUGAGAAAGAUCGCUCCGCUCCUGUAAGGAAGAGAGCGUGUAGGGGCUGCAACCAGAGACACAGUCAGAAGCUCCGAGGCUACCGCGAUGGUCCAGCACGCGGUCUGGUGGCACCCUGCAGGAUUUACCAGCUUUUUGCCAACAUUCUGGCCUAUGCAAUCAAUACGUCCCUUCAGCGUUGCACUUGGAUGGAUUGGACCUAUAGUUGUUAUAUAUGGAUAUUGUCUAAUUUAUUUAUUACAGUAUUAACUGACUCCUAUGUUCUGGCCUUCAGAAUUUCUCCUUUGGAUCAAUUACUAGCCUGUCUUACAUUUUCUGCUUCAUUCUUUUAAAAUGUUUAGAGAUGAUUUGCUAAGUUUUCUUCAUUGCUGUCAAUGAUGCAAUUUAAACUGUCAAAAAAAUUUUUUCUCAAGCAGGGUAGUAAUGGUGAACCAUUCCCUUGCUAUUCAGACAGCAUGGUUUAGAUGAGGCGCACCUAUCCCCAGCUUUAGGAAUGGAAACAGGACCCAAGUCUGGCUAAUCAGAGACUGGUUUAGGGUCGGCCCCAUGGUCUGAGCCAGACCAAUGAGAAUUGGUAGAGGGACUUCCUUUUGCAACUUCUAUUUUAGAAUCGGGGGUAUAUAUGCAGGCUUGUUACAGAGGUAUAUUGCAUGGUGCUGAGGUUUGGAGUAUGAACGAAUCCGUCCUUCAGGUAAUGAGCAUAGUACCCAAUAGGUAGUUUCAACCCUUGCCCCCUUCCUCCUUCCCCAGUCUUGUAUUCCCCAGUGUCUGUUGUUCCCAGACAUUGAUCUUUUUCCUCUAUGUUGCUAAGCUGGUAGAAAGGCUGGAGUUGCUGGCAACCAUCUUUGCAACCAUGCAGGGAGAACUACUUUGGAAAUGAAGCAAGAUAAAGAAGAAAACAGAUAAAAGGAGACAAAUGUUUGACUUUGUACAGCUGGAAACCAGCAAUGCUGGAAAUGAGCACUGAAGGCAGUUUAAUGGGUUUGUCACUUGUAACCAAGUGACCCAUGGCAAGCUCACAGAUUUGUAUUGGCAGAAUUCCUCCUUUUCUUUAUUUAAAAUGGUACUUUUGGCCAGGCAAGGUGGUUCACACCUGUAAUCCAAAGACUUUGGGAGGCCGAGGCGCACUGAUCACCCAAGGUCAGAAGUUCGAGAACAGCCUGGCCAACAUUGGCGAAACCCCAUCUCUACUAAAAAUACAAACCAUUAGCUGGCUGCGGUGGCCUUUCUACCAGCUUUUUGUCUCAAAAAAAAAAAAAAAAAAGGUACUUUUGCUUAUCUCUAACCUUCCUCUUCCCCAUAAUUUAACAGUUGCCCAUACUAUCUGUUACUCUGAGCUACUCUCUGCCCCAUUCUCCUCCUCUUAUCUUCAGUUCCUCCUAGGCUGUCAGAGCCAUCUGAAAUGAAAACAUUUAGGCCGGGCAUAGUGGUUCAUGCCUGUAAUCCCAGCACUUUGGGAGGCUGAGGCAGGCGGAUCAGCUGAGGUCAGGAGUUCAAGACCACCCUGGUCAACAUGGUGAAACCCCAUCUCUACUAAAAAUACAAAAAUUAUCCAGACAUGGUGGCACAUGCCUCUACUCCCAGCUACUUGGGAGGCUGAGGCAGGAGAAUCGCUUGAACCUAGGAGGCAGGGGUUGCAGUGAGCCGAGAUUGAGCCACUGCACUCUAGCCUGGGCGACAGAGUGAGACUUUGUCUAAAAAACAUAAAUAAAAUAAAAUGAAAUGAAAACAUUUGCUACUUGAAAUCCUUCAGAUUCCCCAUCGCCUACCUACAGGCAAAACUCUCAAGUUCUUUUGUAUGAUUUAACCACUAUCUACCUGUCCAACUGAAAUCUACCCUUCAGUAAUAUUAUACUUGCACCUCCCUUCAUAAGCUAUGCUACAAGUUUGGUUAUGCAGUUGCCCACCUUUUAAGGUUCAAGCCUUGUCUUCUCCAAAGAGCCACCUCUGACUGCCUCACAGUAAGCUUAGGGCCCGCAACUUACCUGUAACUUUUGUUGCACUUAUGGCCUUUUACAACUAUCAAUUUAUGUAUGUGUCUGUUCUCACUGGUUUAUAAGCUCCCUGAGGACAGAGCCUUGCUUGAGUCAUCUGUCAGCAGCCCAAUAUGGGACAAAAAGUGCAUGCAUUGUAAUUACUGAACAGAACUGAUAGAGGCUCAGCAAUUUGCGCUCCAUAGGUCUAAGUUUGAACUUUUCUAGAAAAGGAUUUGCAGGACGAUCUGACGAAUCUUGGGCUUCCAAAUUAGUUCCAACAGUUCUAGUAUUUUUUUUUUUUUUUGACAGAAGCAAAUAAGUAAGUUUUACUUUGUGAUUAAAACAAAAGUGAAAUGCAUUUAGUCCCAGGAAAUGUCAAUCCUUUCUGCAUCUUACUUUUUUUUGCUGUGACCUCGAGAUUCUCUUGUUCUCUUCAGUUGUAUUGGUCCAUGAUCACUCAUAGCUUUCAUACACAUAUAUACAUCUGAAACUCAGAAAAUUCAUUAGGUAGGAACUCUUUGGAUGCAUCUCCUUUUUUAACCUCAUUGGGAUGAUUUUUCGUUGCACCAUCAUUUUAUAGAGCUUCCUAGCACUGCUGAGCAUGCAGAAUUUUUGCAAAUGCAAUCCAGAGAAACAGACUUGCUAUAUACUAGCUAUUUGAACUUGUCUGAGCUUAUGUGGCAUGGUCUAAAGAAUACUGAAAUAUUUCUGGCAUACCUCUUAAUUGCAGUCACUUUCUCCAGGUUGCUUUAUGGAUUAAAUGAGAUAACCUACUAAAGGACUCCAGUAAAAAGCUAAAAAGGUAGCUAGCUUUUGAGGUGUUGUGGCAGACUGGCAUCUAGUGGCCAGCGAUAAAGGUGCAGACUAGUGUCCACACCUAAGUGGGGACAGUGCAGGCUGUAAUGUCCAUACCUAGUGGGGACAUCAAUGGGGUAUUUGUCAGAGAAGCUCCAUGGCAUAGUUUGGACAUUGUUUCUGGCUGUGCAGGUUCAAACCCAGAGUCUGGCUCUCCCAAAGAUUAUCUGAGUUAUUCUAUUAUUUUACAAAGUUUGAAAUAGCCAUUAGAUACCCUUACAAACUUAUCAUUUUUGUGAUUGAUUUUAAGUCUACUGAAAAUGUCAAAAGAAAUCCAAAACUGAUUGCUAGUAACUAGGCCAGGUGUGGUGGCUCACACCUGUAAUCCCAGCACUUUGGGGCCGGGGCAGGCAGAUUGCUUGAGCUCAGGAGUUCGAGACCAGCCUGGGCAACAUGGCAAAACUCCAUAUUUACAAAAAAUACAAAAAAUUAGCCGGACAUGAUGGUGUGUGCCUGUUGUCCCCGCUACUAGAAGGCUCAGAAAGAAGGAUCACUUGAGCCUGGGAGGCGGAGGUUGCAGUGAGCCAAGACUGUGCCACUGCACUCCAACCUGGGCAACAGAGACCCCAGCUCAAAAAAAUAAAAUUAGUGUUAACUUGUACUGUUUAGCCACAUUCAUUAAGUUUUUAAUUUUAACUCUACUAUCGCACAACCAGGAAUGUACAAGAGAUCUGGAGCCUGAUUUGCAUGGCAGGAAGGAGACCACGUAUUUUUGUUUGGGAUGGGUUUUAGCCACUAUCAGAGACAUAGUUUGUUUCUUAGGGGUUCGGUCCCAGUAGUAUGAUACUUAGUUCAUUUAGGAACUUCCUUUUUUAACGGCUAAGAAAACAUUUUAGCUACUAAAUGAUAUGCAAAGAUAACUUUCCAAAUUUAAGCUGUACUCAAAAAUCCACAGAAUCUGCAAAACUCUCAAGUUUCUAUAUUUAAAUAGAAAUGUGUGUUGAUAUACAUACUUUAAUCAGUCAUUUCUUGCUUUCAAUAUAUUUUAUUCUGACGAAGUUACAAAAGUAGAUACAAAAUACUUUUUUUAGAAGUACAGUUAACUGACUUAGAAAAAUAGAUAAAGCCCCUAAGGAUUUUAAAACACAACAUAAAUUUUUAUGUAAAGAACAUUUAAAAAUAUUUUAGAUGGUAACCAAAACUAACUUACACAAACUAUUUUUGAUGUAGAAUAGAAUGCUGUUCUAUAAUAAGAAGUCUGUAGCACACUGGUAAUCCAUUUGGAUCUACAGAAUACUUGUUUGGAACAGAAUCUGAUAAUGAGAGAAAACUCAAAUGAAUGUCAGUGCAGUUGCUUCAAAAAAAUUACUGCUACCACAUGUACUAUCAUCCCCCAAGGCCUUUUACAGUCUGAAAUAUCAAAAUUGAAAGCAAAAAUAGGAUGACCAAAGGACUACUAUUUUACCUCUUUUCAGAACUCUACAAUAGUAGAAACUAAAUUCCCUUAUGGAUCUCAGGGGGAAAUAAUGUGCCUGUUGAAGGGGCUCAGUGUUUGGUGUCCAGGCUGGCAUUUUUCAGGUGAGGGUUUCAUACUGACAGGAGGCAGGCUCCUAAAACAAGGCGGUAGCACCAGCACCAUGACUAGGGCUGCUUUAAAACAAAUUUCUAGGACUUACGCUCUUUGGGCCUGAUUUGUUAAUGCUUAUGAGGUAAUGAUAUUAUGUUUGAGAAGCUCUACUUCUAGUAUACCUCAAUGCUCAGAGAGAAAGCCAACAAUACAAUCAGGAAACCACAAUAUUGACAAAACUUAGUACUACCACCAAGAUUGUUCCUCUUGCCUUGGCACUACUAAAAAACUUUACCUUUGUUACUAAAGUCAUGGUGAAUACAGAUUUUGCAUUUCUCAUGUAAGCAGCUAUAUAAGCUAGGGUUCUACAAGCCUUAGAUGAAAGGAAAAACUUUGCUGGAAGCCCUGUAAAAAUCACUUUAUUCACAAUCUGAAGAAUGAAAGACAAAUUUGGCUGUCAAUACAAAAACUGUAGUACAAGGAAGUUCAACUGUUUAAAAAUCUGCACAUCACUGUACAAGUGUUUUUUGAAGGCCUGAAAAUUAAAGCACCAUAGGAUUAACUGCAUAAUUUAGCAAGCACUCUCUACCCCAUGACUGUAAUCAUGUAUGAAGAGCAGAGAUCAGACACUGAGAGGAGAUGGCUUCUGAUUAGCAAGGGGGAAGGGAGUGAGUGUUAUGGAACAGGCAAACCUUGGGCAUGGGGAGAUAAAAGUGAGAAGAGUCAAAAAGAUUGAUUUCUAUAGGCCGGGCACGGUGGCUCAUGCCUGUAAUCCCAACACUUUGGGAGGCUGAGGCGGGCGGAUUGCGAGGUAAGGAGAUGGAGACCAUCCUGGCUAACACGGUGAAACCCCAUCUCUACUAAAAAUACAAAAAAUUAGCCAGGCAUGACUAAAAAUAGAAAAAAUUAGCUGGGCGUGGUGGCGGGCACCUGUAGUUCCAGCUACUCAGGAGAGGCUGGGGCAGGAGAAUGGCAUGAACCUGGGAGGCAGAGCUUGCAGUGAGCCGAGAUCCCACCACUGUACUCCAGCCUGGGUGACAGAGUGAGACUCUGUCUCAAAAAAAAAAAAAAAAAAGAUUGAUUUCGUCAAACUGUUAUCAAAGGUUGGCCCUCUAGCCAACUCAGGAAGGCGCCAUCCUCUUCCCAUUAUCUCCCCUUCCUCCAAUUCUCCUCCUCCCCUUGGCUCCCUAGCCUUGGAGGUAAACACUAAUAUUUCAGUGCACUGUUGGUUAAGCCAGAUUGGCUUGGGAACCUGGUAAUGUUUUUAUUUUUAUUUUAAAAAAGGACAGUCUUGAGUCUCAAAAUACCAACACAUCUCUGAUUUAUGUCCCAUUUAUAAGCUGCCUUUACUACUGUCCUGACAUGUGAUCGUCUUUCAUUUGCUUUGGAGCUUAGUGGUGAAGAGAGGGAACAUUUCCAUAACUGAAAAUAAAUGGAGAAAAGUGGUAACUCUUUUGUUUGAGAAUAUUUGAAAUACUAGAAAUAAUGAGGAAAGUACAAGCCUAGCUGAGAAACUAGUUUCAUCACUUGUGGACUUAAAAAAGUAAAGCUAACAGGGUUUAAAGUUGAGAGGCAGUUCACAUCCUAAGUGAUACCUAGAAACCUGCUUUCUUGUUCGCAAAUGAUCAACAUGAACAUACAGAAUGGCUGACAUUUGGACCUUUGGAUAAGCUUAAAACAUGGAUUGUGGAAUGUCUAAUAGAGGGCUUUUCUCUCUUUUUUUUAAUAAUGACUGUCCCACACUUUAAUUCCUCAAUGAUAUGUGGAUGCUAACUAAAUCAGAUGAAAUGUUUUCUUUAAAAUUCUGUAUAUAUUUAAGAAUUUCUAGGAAAUGAUUAUUUAAAAUGGAGUUUCUAAGUAAUUAUUUUCUUUAUAGUUUAGUGGAGUAAGAAAAAUAAAUCUAAAAAAAAACAUCAAAUCUAACCUUUAUCAAAGCCAUCGAGGAGGUUGGUAAAAUACUUUGCAAAAAUCACAGCUCUGAACCACAUAGAAUGCUGAUGAACUUAAAGCUUUGCCAGUUUGGCAAGUCUUCCAGUAUAAUACUUGUUGUGCCUCAGUACAUUUUAAAUAGACAGCUAGAGUUUACUAAAUCCUAGGAAUCAAAUAAAAAAUAAAUGUUUUCUUCACUGAAGGGGAAGGCUUUUAUAUCCCAAUAGAAAUAGAGGAAUUUCAAGUUUUGAUACAAAAACAAUUAAAACAAGAUAAAACCCAAGUGGAAGCUCAGUCCAUCUUUUGAAUAUUAACAAAAUGAGGAUUUUUUUAAAACUUAUUUCUCCCAUUUUGUUUCCUUUAAACACAUACACUCACUCACUCUCUCAAGAAUAGGUAGCACACCAAAACUUUAUCUGUGUUAUAAGAUGUGUACACCUUCAUGGUUUAUUGUGGUUUUCCUUAAGUUUUAUCCUUAUUAGGAUGAAGUUCAUGCAUUUCUACACUACUCUUAACUAAGGCUCAAGAGACAAUAAAAACAUAGAAGUAAUUUUUUAAUAAAAGGAAAUAAAAUAAUCAAGUACUCUGAGUAUUUUCCUCCAUUCUCUUAUCCAGAAUUUUAAGGCCUCUGAAAAAUAAUGAAAUAAUAAAAAUAGUGGUUUUGAGAUCUAAAUUUAUUAAUAUUUUGGAUUCCUUUUCUCAGCCAAAAGCUACUAUCUGAAUUAAGCUUUUCAGUUUAAAAGCCUGGAAGACCAUCCUUAGAAGACAUUAAAAAAUUACUUCUGAUACACACACUCCUAAUAAUUUAGAUAGAUAUGAAAACAAUCUCAAAUAAAGAUCAAAAAAUAAAGUCCCUGUAAAAAUAACUUUGGUUGCUCCCACCCACACGUCAUAUGAUGAUUUAAACUGCAAUCAUGAAUUUUGAAAAAAUAGACGUAUCUUAUCUAUAAAAACACUACCAUACAAACUUGAAACUAAAAUGUUAUCUGAAGUGACACAGAUGUUCUAAAUCUCAAGGAUACUGAAAAAUACAUUUUUUAUUCGUAAAAUAAAAGAAUAAAACCAAUCUGAUUGUGUUAUUAGGAAAUUUGUUCUGGAAACUUAUUCAUAAAUUAUUGAUGGAAAUUCUUAAUGUCCAUUGUGCUGUCACCUAAAACAGAUUCAAUCAUUUUCUUGUAAAGAAAUGACUGAGUAAAUGAGUAAAAGAAUAAUAAGUAAAUUUAUAAGCUACAGGUUAACCAUCACAUAUUACAACCAAGUAUGACUAUGUGAUAACAACAAGAGUGGUCACACAGUACUUAAGAUUUGGCUGUGUCCUUAAGGUCUUACUCGGAAACUAUCACACCAACCUACCUUUGGGAUAAUUUUAUCAGUAGACACAGGCAAUGGGUAUCUUUUUAUCCUGUUUUCUUAAAGUUUGUAUCACUAGUCUAUAACAGAUAGCAAUGAGAUAGUUCUAGCAAUAGAUGAAGCAAGGGGGUAACUGUGUUCUAGAAGAAACAUUUAUCUGUCUUUUGAUCCAAGUUUCUCUAUUAAUUCUUGAAGAGGUGCCAGCUCACGCCUAUCAAUCAGAUUAAACUCCUAAAAAGAGAAGAAAAAUAACAAUUAAAAAUGGAUCUAAAACUGAAACUCUGUAAAUGUCUUUUGGAGAAGGGAUUCCCAACUCUAGUUUUCUGAAGUCCAAAAGAAUGAUGAAAU